UAGGGCCGCUCCCGAGGCAUAUGGAAGUUCCCAGGCUAGGGGUCUAAUUGGAGCUGUAGCCGCCGGCCUACGCCAGAGCCACAGCAAUGUAGGAUCGGAGCCACAUCUGUGGCCUACACCACAGCUCACGGCAACGCCAGAUCCUUAACCCACUGAGCAAGGCCAGGGAUCAAACCUGCAACCUCAUGGUUUCUAGUCAGAUUCGUUAACCACUGCGCCAUGAUGGGAACUCCUGAACAUCUUUAAAUUGCACGGAUUCCAUGAACUUGCUAAGCCUGGUGUACAACUUAGGAGUGUGGGGCCCACAGAGGGCAUGUGGGUUAUCCAGGGGCAUACAGCUAGCUAGUACAAGAGCCAGAUUUGAAACUGGCUCCACUGGCCAUGAACUUUUCCAAUGCACUUGGAAGAUAUUUCCACCUAAGUUCAAGUGCUAUGUUUAUGCAUUUUUAUGUCUCUGGGCCUCGAUCUGACUACUCCUUCCAUCACUCAAUCAUCCGUGCAGUCCUGGAAAAAAAAUGUCUCCUAGACAAAAAAAAUUAGUUUACAUUUCCAUUUUCACUUCAAUCUGAAUGAAAACAGUCCAGAGUUGGAUGAUGGCUUUACGGUAUCAGGGACUCAGACUCUUUCUAUCUUAGAGCACUCCCAUCUUCAACCAGUAGUUUUCAUCUCAUGGCCCAAUAUGGCUGCUUGAGCACUGCCAUUGCACCUACAAUACUACCAGUAGGAAGCAGAGAAAAAGAAGUAGAAGUCACCCUCUUUAGGACACAAACAAGAAUGUUUUGUGCCGCUUCCACUCUCACCUUACUGGCUGGAAUUAGGCAUAUGUCCUAUAAUACUGCCAGAGAGGCUGGGAACAGUAGUCAUUGGAUAACAUAGCUGGGCAGCCAUCAUGUUUUCCUCUAAAACUUGGGACUCUAUUACCAAUGAAUAUAUUAUCCAUUCUCUGUCACUCAUAUAUUUUCUGAGCACCCACCAUGUGCAGAAGAAGGUGCAGCAGACUAGAAAUAGCGUAAACUUCAUAAUUUGACUGUCUUGGGUUUGAAUCCCAAUUUUGUCUUUCCCAGCUAUAUUUCAUCACCUCUCUGAGCCUCAGUUUCCUCAUUAAUAAUAUGGAGACAAGAGAGUAAGCACGAUCAUCCCAUGCGGGAAUUUUAUGAGAGACACGAUAUAGACUUAGGACUGAACCUGGUGUACAGUUGGCACUAAGGAAACAGCAGUUGCAUCAGACUCCAAUGUGUAUUUUAUGCUGAUAGCACAUCUCAAUUCAGACUAGCCACGUUUCAAGUUCUCAGUAGUCACUUGUACUAUACUAGACAGCACAGAUCUAAACCAUCAAAUAAAAAGAUAAAUGUUUUAAAAGAAAGAGAGAAAACAAAAGAAAUGGCAGCUGCUUUUAAAAUCAGCCAGACCCUAAGCCAGACUUCCAGGGGCCAGAGGUGACUUAGCAGAGGCCCUGCCCUCGAUUCCAGUGGAGAGACAUUCCAGGGCGGCCUGCUGUCAAUAAAAGCCCAGAGAUAUGUCUAUGAAUAAUCCCAAUGCAUCAAUCAUGCAUGAGUCAGAGCAGUUAUACCCAUAAGUCAUAAAGCAGCAGCUGGGCCCAGGAUUCCUGGCAUCCUUCCAAGCCCAUCUCCCCAACCCCAUUUUCCAGAGGAGCAAAUAGAGCCAAAGGGAAGAUUGCAAGCACAGUGUGACUACACUGUUUUAUUUUAUCAGUCUCCUCCUAAUGGGGCAUGGGGGUUGGUUCCAGUUUGGAGUCACCAUAAACAGACUUGGCCGGGCCUUCCCAUACCUACAGGAGCAGGGAUUUCCAGAGAGGCUGGGAAGAAGGAAUUGCUGGGGUGAAUUACAGAUCUGUGGGGUGCUCCAACUGCAACGGAGGGAGAUGACUCUCCCCAAGUUACUGACAGAUCACAACCUCAGCACCACUGACAUUCUGGGCCAGAGAAUUCUCUGGUGUGGGGGCUGUUCUAUGUCUGGUAGGCUGUUUGGCAGCUUUCCUGGCCUCUACCCACCACAAGAUGCCAGGAGCAUACCAUCACCCCCAGUUGCGACAACCACAAAUACCUGCAGACAUUGCCAAAUGUCCUCUGAGGGUAAAAAGCAUCCCCAGUUGAGAAUCACUGCUCUCAAAGUACAGAGCCUGCCAGUAGGGUUUCUAAACACAGAUUCUUUAUGCAGAUUUGUGGAUGUUACUGAUUUUCUUCUCUUUGGAAAGGGUCUAUGACCUUGCUAGUUACUAGUUUAUGAACAAAGAUUUCAGGUCAUUAUUAGGAUAAUUAGUGGAAUUUGAAUAUGGACAAUAAGAAUGAUAUUAUAACAUUGUAUCAGCAUUAAAUUUCCUGAUUUUGACAACUAUACAGUGGUCAUAGAAGUGAAUGUACAUGUUAUUCAGUGAUGCACAUCAAAGUAGUUAAGACUGAAAGGACAAUGUGUCUUUCCUGUGUAACUGACUCUCAAAUGGUUCAGAAAAAUUACACAUGCACAGAGAAAGAAUGAUAAAUCAAGUGUAGCAAAUUGUUGAUAAUUGUGGGAAUCUGAGUAAAGGAGAUAUAUGGAAGUUUAUUGCAACAUUUUGGCAAAUUUUCUGUAAAUUUGAAAUUAUUUUUUAGAAAUUAUUAUUUUAAAAGUAGUGUUUUUUUUUCUUUUUUCUUUUUUUUUCUUUUUAGUGCCACACUCACAGCAUAUGGAGGUCCCCAGGCUAGGGGGUCUAACCGGAGCUACAGCCUGCUGGCCUACACCACAAACACAGCAAUGAGGGAUCUGAGCCAAGUCUGCAACCUAGACUACAGCUCACAGCAAUGCCAGAUCCUUAACCCACUGAGUGAGGCCAGGGAUGGAACCCGCAUCCUCGUGGAUCCUAGUCGGGUUCAUUAACUGCUGAACCAUGACGGGAACUCCUUAAAAGAGUUUUUAAAAAUCCUCUAUGCUUUAUUCUAGUUUUUGAAACAUGGUUUUAAUCUAUUAUUCCCGCCUACUCCCAGGAAAAAGAUCCAUGAUUGUGCCCAGGAUCUGGACCUCAUUCAGGUCACAGUCCCAAGGAUCUCCCAGAACGAGUUCUCUUUGCAUUUAUUUGCAUCUGUGAAGUGCCGAGAAAGAAGUUUCACCCAACAUUAACAAUGAUUAGUUAUGGACCCACCAGGCCCCAGUUUUGUUCAAAUGUCCACCCCUCCCCUAGGCAGCCCAGUUGCCUCAGAAAAGUGA
rnacentral:lncRNA from 1 species